GAGGGUGGGGUCCCUCGGAGUCGCCUUGCAGGAGGAGGCUCCAAACUGCCAGGAGCUGCUUUAGCCAAAAGCUGCGGUGGUGAACGUCCUGGU
rfam:Cyanobacteria bacterium 13_1_40CM_2_61_4 13_1_40cm_2_scaffold_185379, whole genome shotgun sequence.